GUAGACCAGAACUGGACACAGUACUUCAGAAGAGGCCUCACCAACGUCCUGUACAACCUCUGCAUGAUGUCCCAACUUCUGUACACAACGGUCUGAGCAAUGAAGGAAUUCAAAAGGGAGAAUUUACAGACAGGCAGCUCAAGUCAAACACUGGAUGAAGAGCUGCCAAUAAAACUCAAUUCUCAGGAGCUUUGAACAUGGAAGAAAACAUCAUCAUUCACAGUGAAGAGAAACCAUACAAGUGGACUGUGUGGGAAAAACCUUCACCCAAUCUUCUGGACUUUCGAGACAUAAAUGCAGUCAGAACAGGGUGACAACGAUGACAUCAUGCUUUGUUUUGUAACAUCGUGGUCAUGGAUCUCAGUUUGAGUUAAGCAAGGGCCACUCAGUUCCUGAUCUCUUUACAUUCUUGCUGCAAACACGGACCAAACAGCUGAAUUCCAAAUAUGGGAAUGACUAUCUGCUAUCUUAAGGCUCCAUUCGACAGAGCAUUGUAUCAAGGAAUCAUAGCAAAACUAGGAUCAACAGGAAUCAGAAUAUUAUUCUCCCUUUAAAGGCAGGUAUUUGAAAAGAUUGCAUCUUCGGACCUGAGUAGAUCAAAACAAGGUGAAUUUAUUCAAACUUGUACCACAUACGUGCAGAAGAGGUAUCUAAGUCUAGUUUCAAGACAAUCCACCAUUUACAGCUCAAAACAGAAUAUUAAGACAUUUUCACGUUAGAGUGGUUGCAUGUAACAUUGGUACAAAAUAAAUUUAUAUGUCAGUUAUUUACUGCA